rnacentral:rRNA from 1 species
GACGAACGCUGGCGGCGUGCCUAAUACAUGCAAGUAGAACGCUGGAGGAGGAGCUUGCUUCUCUGGAUGAGUUGCGAACGGGUGAGUAACGCGUAGGUAACCUGCCUGGUAGCGGGGGAUAACUAUUGGAAACGAUAGCUAAUACCGCAUAAUAUUGACUAUUGCAUGAUAGUCAGUUGAAAGGUGCAACUGCACCACUACCAGAUGGACCUGCGUUGUAUUAGCUAGUUGGUGGGGUAACGGCUCACCAAGGCGACGAUACAUAGCCGACCUGAGAGGGUGAUCGGCCACACUGGGACUGAGACACGGCCCAGACUCCUACGGGAGGCAGCAGUAGGGAAUCUUCGGCAAUGGACGGAAGUCUGACCGAGCAACGCCGCGUGAGUGAAGAAGGUUUUCGGAUCGUAAAGAUCUGUUGUAAGAGAAGAACGAGUGUGAGAGUGGAAAGCUCACACUGUGACGGUAUCUUACCAGAAAGGGACGGCUAACUACGUG